CAAUAGCAUAUAUUAACGUUGUUGCAGUUGAAAAGCUCGUAGUUGAACUUUUGGUAGGAGCGACCUGGCCUUGGGCGCAUGCCCUUGUUUGCCGUGUGUCGUGUCUGGCCAUCCUUUUCCGCUUCGGCGGGAAUCUUUUACUGUGAGUAAACUGGAGUGCUCAAAACAAGACGUUUGUUUGGUACAUUAAAGCAUGGAAUAAUAAGAUAGGACCUGGUUACUAUUUUGUUGGUUUGCAUAGCUAGGUAAUGAUUAACAGGGACAGUUGGGGGUAUUCGUAUUUAAUUGUCAGAGGUGAAAUUCUUGGAUUUCUGGAAGACGAACUACUGCGAAAGCAUUUACCAAGGAUGUUUUCAUUAA
rnacentral:rRNA from 1 species